CGGAAAGCACACAGCUGAGGUUCUGUGAUAACUGGGGGAGGGGGUUGUGCACAGCAUGCAUGUGCGCGCUAUGUGCAUGUGUGUGCAUGUUUAAUAACGUGCGUGGUGUGUGUGUGUGUGUGCGUGUGCGUGUGUGUGUGUGUAUGUGUAUGUAUGUGCGUGUGUGUGUGUGUGUGUGCGUGCGUGUGCGUGCAUGUGUGUGUGUGCGCGUGUGUAUGUGUAUGUGUGUGUGUGUGUGUGUGUGUGUGUGUGUGUAGUGGGGGGCUGCGUCAGUGGCUGAACCGGAGCACUUGGGUUAGCUGGUCUCUGUGCUGGUGCUGGGAGCUGGAGCAGCUCGGUGCUGCAGUGCCUCUUCCCCGGCCUGCUGUUCCCCCGCUGCGGCCCGCCCGCCGUCCCUCCUGCCUGACCCCCUCGGCUCGCCCCCGUCUCCCCCUCUCCUUCACGCCUCCUCGCGGCCUGACCCUCCUUAAAGCUCCAGCUUCCCCAAUUCCAAAAACAAUAAACACCCCCAACAAUGACAAGCGCCCCCCUCCUCCCCCCAACCUACAUUCACUUCUUCUGAAAAGAUCUGGCUAUCCUUCUCUUUUUCAGGAUCUUCACAAGUGCCUAGAAUAGCAAGCAUGUCUAUGUUUCUCCCCCCCCCCCCCACCCAUCCCCAGUCUAUCCUCUGGGCCUGCCAUCAGGUUGAAUGCAGUGUUGACUUGUGGAAUGUGUGGGGAGAGGGUAAAGAUUCAUUAGAGACCCACUGAACAUUUCACGUUGCCAUGCAAAUGAGUAUCGAUCCAUUCUGCCCAGAGCAGGCCGUCCGGGCCCUGGGAUAAACACUGGCAGGUGAGCAGCCGAGGAGAAAAAGAGGAGGGGAAAGGGGGAAGGUGGCGAAAGGGAAAAAAAAAAAAAUUAGAAAAAAAAAUUUGAGCACCAGCCCAGAAGUGCUGAAUGGGCAUUAGCUCUUGCAUGUGACCUCUGGCCUGCCUGUGUGCCUAAAGCCCAAAUCCUGCCCACAAUAGCUUCCUGUUCCACUUGGAUCACUCUCUUUUUCAAACAUCAGCAACCGUUUUGACAUACUGCCGGGGAGGUGGUUAAAACCAGCGACAGAUGCGGAGAGAGAGUGUGUGUGUAAGAGAGAGAGAGACACAGAGAGUGAGUGAGAGAGGAGAGAGAGAGAGGAGAAGGGAAGAGCGAGUGAGGGAGAAUGAAGGAACGCGGGUGGGUUCUGCAUUGAGGAAGUCUUUUGGGCUGAAGAACGCCCCUGUUCCCAGGACACAACCAUCAAGUUUUUCUUUUUUUUUGGAAGAGGACAAGGAGUCAAGAAUCCAACUGCAGAAUCCCACAGCCUUUUCUACCUCGAACACCUGCCCUGCGAAUCCCCUAGCCGCUCAAAGGCAAGGAAAAUGUAACCGAGCUGUACGAAUUGCGGACACUUUGGUGCGGUUUCACCCUCUACCCCGGAGGACGAGCGGGGGGUCACGGGCUGGUCUGCACGAUGAGUCGCAGCGCCAGCAUCUGCUGCACCUCGCCGGUGACCCGUCUCUCCUGGCCCGCUCGGGGACGCCGCUCCGAAUUAAGCGGCCUUUGGGGGUUUUCCCCUAAUCAAAGAGCCGUGCCGAGGGGAAGGAGCGCCUUCAAGCCGCAGACAGACUUCCAAGACAUUUCAACAGGAAAGGGGGGGGGGCAGCACCACAGAAACAUACAGCAGCAGCUGUCUGUCAAGCCACUGCGACCCGCCCCUCCCCCAUCCUAAAUGGCUGGGUACAGGGAUCGCAGCGAUCAUCCAACCCGCCACCUACUUCAACCAUCUCCUUCCCUGGUUCUCAAGACCCACACCCCCAUAAUCCCUUGGCCCAGUCUGUUUCUGCCACCCCCUCACUCCUGACAGGUUGAGCCCUGCUGGUGGAGUAGGGUGGCAUCCAUUUCCCUCCCCUCUCCUCUCCCCGUGCAUUGCCUGACUGACUGACGCCCGCGACACAUGCUGACAUUAUCAAAUGCUCGGCGGCUGCUGCCCCCGACCCCUCGUUUUCCACUCCGCGCUCUUGCCCUCUUAUGGCCACCGCUCGAGCGGAGGGGAGCCGUCCAAAAGCGCUGCACAACAGCUGGAGGCCCGGCCGAGCGUCGCGUUACGCGUGCGUCUCGGGGAGCGGGGGAGGGCCGGGCAUUAUUAAUAGCGCGAGCGAGAGGUUUUUACGGCCUUCCUCGGAGGUCUCCAUAUCGGACAGCACCUGCCGUGACCUCUCGCCUGGUAUCCGUUCCCGCUCCGCGGACACCUCGGCGGUGCGGCUGUGCCGGAGAUCCGCCCUGCUGCCGUACCCAAAAUAGCCCUACGCUUUCAGCCUGGUAACCCAUCCUCUGACCGCAGUGGGUGGGCGAGAGGCAGAAGUAACCAGGAGAAUGCUCUCGUAAUGCCGUUUAUAAGCAGCAGCUGGGUAGCGUAUUCCAUGACCGAUGUUAAAAGCUAAUUUUGCUUCGUCCGACACUCCUUGAGGCCCUGUGAAGGCAGAGGAGCAACCUUGUGCGCAAAAACUCUUUAAUCCUCUCUGUAACUAUCCUUAUAAAUGGUAGCACUGCGGCUGCUUGAAGAGGUGGACUAAGACUGAGCUAAAAAAGAAAGUGCAGGGCUCUCCUAGCCCGCGGCAGCACCUUGAGCCCGUCCCACCUCAUCAGCCCAGUGACCUGGUGACCCACCAAGCGCCGUACACAGCCACCAUCCAUCAACCGCCGCAACGGCCACAUGACUACCAGUCAUUUCACUCAAGAGUACUGAGACUAUUCUUAUGCGUUCCUCAGCUAAAAAAAUCUGAUAUCCUUGCUGAAGAAAAUUAGGAAAAAAACUGAAAAAGACCAGGGGAAAGGGAAAAGAGAGGUGGCAAGAGGAGGCCCGGGAGCAGGGGACACUGUGGGGUGAGGUCAACUGCGUCCCUAAGCGGCACGCGUCCCAUAGAGGCGGCAGAGAAACUUUCCGCAACGUGAUUUGUUACUAGGUAAUGAUCAGAUAAAGGUUUUCCACUGGGUCCCGGCUCGCUCUUGCCGGGUAUUAGUUUACCUGCUCAGGCUCUGUUCCCUGGCACUGCAGAGAGCUGUGGGAGAGAUUCACCCGCUGCCUUUUCCAAAUUCUUUCCUUUAUUGCACAGGGGCUGCGCAUCAAAAUCCAACCCCAAUGCUUUGCUAAAGCUGGUAAAAUGGAACCAAAUCACCUCUUCAAUGGAUUUGGUCCCCUUCAACCAGCUGUAGCUAUGCAUUGAUCACUGCAGGACCAGUGUGAUGUCACGUCUAGGCUGGCUUUCUUCGUCCUGGGCUUUUCCUCAGGAGCGAUAACAAUCAUUCCUGUUCUCCCCUGUGUUUUGUUCUUCCUUGGCAAGGACGCAGCGAGUGUUUCUUGUCACAGUCUGCGUGUGUGUUUUUUCCAGUCUGUUACAAGGGCCAGGGAGAUUGGAGCGCUGCAGAGAUGGGUUUCUUCCUUCAAUGGUAAAAUCGUACUGAUAAUCUAGUCCGGCUACCGCCGUCUUGUUUGAUGCUGGAUAUUUUGCAUGCGUGCUUUUCUCCUUGAUGAAUAAAAGAACAGCAAAACUCCAA